UGGGGAAUUUUGGACAAUGGGCGCAAGCCUGAUCCAGCAAUGCCGCGUGCGGGAAGAAGGCCUUCGGGUUGUAAACCGCUUUUGGUAGGAACGAAAAGCUCUGGGCUAAUACCCUGGGGUGAUGACGGUACCUGCAGAAUAAGCACCGGCUAACUACGUGCCAGCAGCCGCGGUAAUACGUAGGGUGCGAGCGUUAAUCGGAAUUACUGGGCGUAAAGCGUGCGCAGGCGGUUGUGCAAGACAGGCGUGAAAUCCCCGGGCUUAACCUGGGAAUGGCGCUUGUGACUGCACGACUGGAGUGCGGCAGAGGGGGAUGGAAUUCCGCGUGUAGCAGUGAAAUGCGUAGAUAUGCGGAGGAACACCGAUGGCGAAGGCAAUCCCCUGGACCUGUACUGACGCUCAUGCACGAAAGCGUGGGGAGCAAACA
rnacentral:rRNA from 1 species